UUAUGUGCAUGAAUCACAUUCAUCAUUUUUGAUGUUUUUUGGUUUGGUUUACAUCGUCUGCUACCUCUUCGUAGUGAUUUUUUUUAGCGAUUUUAUGAGUUUUCUGCAGCGAUUUUAAUUAUAAAUUUUGAUUUAUUACAAACUUAUGAUAUAAUAUGAAGUGCUUUGUGAUUGGAACAAGUUUGUGCGUUGGUUUGAUUUGCCAGGAGGCGUAAAUUUGCAUGAAAAUUGGUUUAUGUGCAUAUCACUUUUGUCACUUCCUGAAUGGUUGAAACUGUCAUUCAUAAAUUGCAGCACAUGGCGUUAGUACGAGCUUUUAGCCGAGUUGUUAACAUGGGUGACAAAGGAGAUGAUCAGAAUGGAGAAAACAUAUUGAGGCGCGGCGCUUAUUACUGGCAGUCACGUUUGUGGCCCAAUCUCGAUCAUUACCGCUCAUUCGCAGCUUAAGAUAUACGUUUAUCAGUGCACUUGAACAAUAUUCGCAUUCGCAAAAGCUCCGCAUUGAUUAUUGGGUAGUAGUGCACUUUAGAGGAACCAGGUCAAAAUGGACGGAAAAGGUUCGAGACUGGUAUCAAUCGACGCGUCUUAACGCCAACAACAAUCCGAGACCGGGAAUUUACAUUUUUAAUUCAUUAAAGAGUUAUUUGCAAAAAAACACUUGCACUUUCCGCACAAUGUUUUGAUGAAUUUCACGCAAAUGAAUG